rnacentral:rRNA from 1 species
GUGGGGAAUCUUGCGCAAUGGGGGAAACCCUGACGCAGCAACGCCGCGUGGGUGAUGAAGGCCUUCGGGUCGUAAAGCCCUGUCAGGUGGGAAGAAACAUGUCGAUUCGAAUAGGACCGACAUUUGACGGUACUACCGGAGGAAGCACCGGCUAACUCCGUGCCAGCAGCCGCGGUAAUACGGAGGGUGCAAGCGUUGUUCGGAAUUAUUGGGCGUAAAGCGCGUGCAGGCGGUUGAGUAAGUCAGAUGUGAAAGCCUUCCGCUUAACGGAAGAAGUGCAUUUGAAACUGCUCGGCUAGAGUACGGGAGAGGAGAGUGGAAUUCCCGGUGUAGAGGUGAAAUUCGUAGAUAUCGGGAGGAACACCAGUGGCGAAGGCGGCUCUCUGGUCCGAUACUGACGCUGAGACGCGAAAGCGUGGGGAGCAAACAGGAUUAGAAACCCCAGUAGUCC